rnacentral:rRNA from 1 species
UACGAAGGGGGCUAGCGUUGUUCGGAAUUACUGGGCGUAAAGCGCACGUAGGCGGAUUGUUAAGUUAGGGGUGAAAUCCCAGGGCUCAACCCUGGAACUGCCCUUAAUACUGGCAAUCUAGAGUCCGAGAGAGGUGAGUGGAAUUCCGAGUGUAGAGGUGAAAUUCGUAGAUAUUCGGAGGAACACCAGUGGCGAAGGCGGCUCACUGGCUCGGUACUGACGCUGAGGUGCGAAAGCGUGGGGAGCAAACAGG